UACAGAGGUCCCAAGCGUUGUUCGGAUUCACUGGGCGUAAAGCGUGCGCAGGCGGCUUUGCAAGACAGAUGUGAAAUCCCCGGGCUUAACCUGGGAACUGCAUUUGUGACUGCAUGGCUGGAGUGCGGCAGAGGGGGAUGGAAUUCCGCGUGUAGCAGUGAAAUGCGUAGAUAUGCGGAGGAACACCGAUGGCGAAGGCAAUCCCCCUGGGCCUGCACUGACGCUCAUGCACGAAAGCGUGGGGAGCAAACAGG
rnacentral:rRNA from 1 species